CUCAUUUUCUCCUGCUGCCCUCCAUGUAAGAAGUGGCUUUUGCCUCCUGCCGUGAUUCUGAGGCCUCCCCAGCCAUGUGGAACUUUAAACACAAUUUAACCCCUCUUUCUCUUCUCAGUCUCGGGUAUGUCUUUAUCAGCAGCAUGAAAACGGACUAAUACACUCCUGGAGGCAUUGGAGAUGGUUUCAGGUAGUCCCCAGAUGUACUUCAAAAGUCUGUUAAUAUUAAAUUAAGUAGGUUUAUAUCUGAGGGUAGGUAUUAUUGCUAGGAAGAAAAGCCAUAAAGAAAGAAGUUUGUUGAGCAAAAAUGAAAGAGAAUAGAAGCUCAUAAUAUUAUGU
rnacentral:lncRNA from 1 species